UUAUUCUUUAUAGCUUGCUAUGAGAAUAAUUAGUGGCAGACGGGUGAGUAAUGCAUAGGAAUCUACCUAGUAGUAUAGGAUAGCCACUAGAAAUGGUGGGUAAUACUGUAUAAUCCCUGCGGGGGAAAGAUUUAUCGCUACAUGAUGAGCCUAUGUUAGAUUAGCUAGUUGGUGGGGUAAUGGCCUACCAAGGCAGUGAUCUAUAGCUGGUCUGAGAGGAUGAUCAGCCACACUGGAACUGAGACACGGUCCAGACUCCUACGGGAGGCAGCAGUGGGGAAUAUUGGACAAUGGGCGCAAGCCUGAUCCAGCUAUGCCGCGUGAGUGAGGAAGGCCUUAGGGU
rnacentral:rRNA from 1 species